UAUUGGACAAUGGAGGCAACUCUGAUCCAGCCAUGCCGCGUGAAGGAAUAAGGCGCUAUGGGUUGUAAACUUCUUUUAGACGGGACAAAACCCCUUUACGUGUAAAGGGUUGACGGUACUGUCAGAAUAAGCAUCGGCUAACUUCGUGCCAGCAGCCGCGGUAAUACGAAGGAUGCAAGCGUUAUCCGGAAUUAUUGGGUUUAAAGGGUGCGUAGGCGGACUAAUAAGUCAGUGGUGAAAGCCUGCAGCUUAACUGCAUAAUUGCCAUUGAUACUGUUAGUCUUGAGUACAGUUGAGGUAGGCGGAAUGUGUCAUGUAGCGGUGAAAUGCUUAGAUAUGACACACAACACCGAUUGCGAAGGCAGCUUGCUAAGCUGUAACUGACGCUGAGGCACGAAAGCGUGGGG
rnacentral:rRNA from 1 species